rnacentral:rRNA from 1 species
GCAUGGCUGUCGUCAGCUCGUGUUGUGAAAUGUUGGGUUAAGUCCCGCAACGAGCGCAACCCUUAUCCUUUGUUGCCAGCGGUCCGGCCGGGAACUCAAAGGAGACUGCCAGUGAUAAACUGGAGGAAGGUGGGGACGACGUCAAGUCAUCAUGGCCCUUACGACCAGGGCUACACACGUGCUACAAUGGCGCAUACAAAGAGAAGCGACCUCGCGAGAGCAAGCGGACCUCAUAAAGUGCGUCGUAGUCCGGAUUGGAGUCUGCAACUCGACUCCAUGAAGUCGGAAUCGCUAGUAAUCGUGGAUCAGAAUGCCACGGUGAAUACGUUCCCGGGCCUUGUACACACCGCCCGUCACACCAUGGGAGUGGGUUGCAAAAGAAGUAGGUAGCUUAACCUUUGGGAGGGCGCUUACCACUUUGUGAUUCAUGACUGGGGUGAAGUCGUAACAAGGUAACCGUAGGGGAACCUGCGGUUGGAUCACCUCCUUACCUUAAAGAAGC